CCUGCCUGGGCAUCUGGGUGGGUUGAAAGCUCCGGCGGUGAAGGAUGAGCCCGCGGCCUAUCAGCUUGUUGGUGAGGUAGUGGCUCACCAAGGCGACGACGGGUAGCCGGCCUGAGAGGGCGACCGGCCACACUGGGACUGAGACACGGCCCAGACUCCUACGGGAGGCAGCAGUGGGGAAUAUUGCACAAUGGGCGAAAGCCUGAUGCAGCGACGCCGCGUGAGGGAUGACGGCCUUCGGGUUGUAAACCUCUUUCAGCAGGGAAGAAGCGAGAGUGACGGUACCUGCAGAAGAAGCGCCGGCUAACUACGUGCCAGCAGCCGCGGUAAUACGUAGGGCGCAAGCGUUGUCCGGAAUUAUUGGGCGUAAAGAGCUCGUAGGCGGCUUGUCACGUCGGGUGUGAAAGACCGGGGCUUAACCCCGGUUCUGCAUUCGAUACGGGCUAGCUAGAGUGUGGUAGGGGAGAUCGGAAUUCCUGGUGUAGCGGUGAAAUGCGCAGAUAUCAGGAGGAACACCGGUGGCGAAGGCGGAUCUCUGGGCCAUUACUGACGCUGAGGAGCGAAAGCGUGGGGAGCGAACAGGAUUAGAUACCCUGGUAGUCCACGCCGUAAACGGUGGGAACUAGGUGUUGGC
rnacentral:rRNA from 1 species